rnacentral:rRNA from 1 species
GACGAACGCUGGCGGCGUGCUUAACACAUGCAAGUCGAACGGUAAGGCCCCUUCGGGGGUACACGAGUGGCGAACGGGUGAGUAACACGUGAGCAACCUGCCCUUGACUCUGGAAUAACAGUUGGAAACAGCUGCUAAUACUGGAUAUUCAUCGUCUCCUUCCUGGGGGGUGAUGGAAAGCUCCGGCGGUCAGGGAUGGGCUCGCGGCCUAUCAGCUUGUUGGUGAGGUAAUGGCUCACCAAGGCUUCGACGGGUAGCCGGCCUGAGAGGGCGACCGGCCACACUGGGACUGAGAUACGGCCCAGACUCCUACGGGAGGCAGCAGUGGGGAAUAUUGCACAAUGGGCGCAAGCCUGAUGCAGCAACGCCGCGUGCGGGAUGACGGCCUUCGGGUUGUAAACCGCUUUCAGUAGGGACGAAGGGUGACUGACGGUACCUACAGAAGAAGGACCGGCUAACUACGUG